CCUACGGGGGGCAGCAGUAGGGAAUCUUCCACAAUGGGCGAAAGCCUGAUGGAGCAACGCCGCGUGGGUGAAGAAGGUCUUCGGAUCGUAAAACCCUGUUGUUAGAGAAGAAAGUGCGUGAGAGUAACUGUUCACGUUUCGACGGUAUCUAACCAGAAAGCCACGGCUAACUACGUGCCAGUAGCCGCGGUAAUACGUAGGUGGCAAGCGUUAUCCGGAUUGAUUGGGCGUAAAGGGAACGCAGGCGGUCUUUUAAGUCUGAUGUGAAAGCCUUCGGCUUAACCGGAGUAGUGCAUUGGAAACUGGGAGACUUGAGUGCAGAAGAGGAGAGUGGAACUCCAUGUGUAGCGGUGAAAUGCGUAGAUAUAUGGAAGAACACCAGUGGCGAAAGCGGCUCUCUGGUCUGUAACUGACGCUGAGGUUCGAAAGCGUGGGUAGCAAACAGGAUUAGAUACCCCAGUAGUC
rnacentral:rRNA from 1 species